rnacentral:rRNA from 1 species
GAUGAACGCUGGCGGUACGUCUGACGCAUGUAAGUCGAACGGGAUCCAGAGCUUCGGCUCUGGUGAGAGUGGCGAACGGCUGAGUAACACGUAGGAACCUACCCUCCGGAUCGGGAUAAUUCGCCGAAAGGCGGACUAAUACCGAAUAAUACCUUCGGGUUGAAAACUCCGGUGCCGGGGGAGGGGCCUGCGGACUAUUAGCUAGUUGGUGGGGUAAUGGCCUACCAAGGCGAUGAUGGUUAGGUGGUCUGAGAGGACGAUCACCCAGACUGGGACUGAGACACGGCCCAGACUCCUACGGGAGGCAG